rnacentral:rRNA from 1 species
CGGAAUGAUUGGGCGUAAAGCGUCUGUAGGUGGCUUUUUAAGUCCGCCGUCAAAUCCCAAGGCUCAACCUUGGAACUGCCUUUGAUACUGGGGAUCUCGAGUCCGGAAGAGGUGAGUGGAACUGCGAGUGUAGAGGUGAAAUUCGUAGAUAUUCGCAAGAACACCAGUGGCGAAGGCGGCUCACUGGUCCGGUACUGACGCUGAGGUGCGAAAGCGUGGGGAGCAAACAGG